GAUGAAGAACGUAGCGAAAUGCGAUAAGUAGUGUGAAUUGCAGAAUUCAGUGAAUCAUCGAAUCUUUGAACGCACAUUGCGCCCUUUGGUAUUCCAAAGGGCAUGCCUGUUCGAGCGUCAUUUGUACCCUCAAGCUUUGCUUGGUGUUGGGCGUCUUGUCUCUAGCUUUGCUGGAGACUCGCCUUAAAGUAAUUGGCAGCCGGCCUACUGGUUUCGGAGCGCAGCACAAGUCGCACUCUCUAUCAGCAAAGGUCUAGCAUCCAUUAAGCCUUUUUUUUCAACUUUUGACCUCGGAUCAGGUAGGGAUACCCGCUGAACUUAAGCAUAUCAAUAGCGGAGGA
rnacentral:misc_RNA from 1 species